rnacentral:rRNA from 1 species
UACAGAGGUCCCGAGCGUUGUUCGGAUUCACUGGGCGUAAAGGGUGCGUAGGUGGCUUGACAAGUUUGAUGUGAAAUCUCCGGGCUUAACCCGGAAAAUGCAUUGAAUACUGUAGAGGCUUGAGGUUUGGAGGGGGGACUGGAAUUCGUCGGUGUAGCAGUGAAAUGCGUAGAUAUCGAGAGGAACACCAGUGGCGAAGGCGAGUCCCUGGACAACACCUGACACUGAGGCACGAAAGCCGGGGGAGCAAACAGG